CAAGGUUUGCAAAGACCACAGUGAUGAAUCCCCUCUCUUCCCCACGCUCCAGUCAUGACCUUGGGGUGGAAUACCUGCUACUUUCCAGUGUUCCAAGAGCUCUCUUCUCAAAAACUGCUUAAAGUAGGGUUAUGCAGCCACCCUGAGAAGACUAAACAAAUGGCCAUGAGAAAAAUUACCGCUGAAAAGGGUUCUUAGUAAAAGAAUCUCAACAAAUAAAAUGGGCUUUCUCCAUAA